CUGGCGGAGUGAUGCGAGGAAAAUAUUGUCUCCCUCAUGGUCAACAAAACAAAGGAGCUGAUCGUGGACUUGAGGAGACAGCAGAGGGAGCACGCCCACAUCCACAUUGACAGGCCCUCAGUGGAGAAGGUCAGAGACAUGCUACUGCGUCAAAACAUUCCAAUUGGGGAUAUGGUUAAGAACUACUUCAAACAGCUGGACGACUUUCUUUCACCUGAGCUUUUCAGCUUGUGCUCAUGGGAGGUCGUGAGAGCUGAAAUGUGGAGCAUCCCGAGGGAUUUUUACAAGAAAUUAAAAAUGCCAAGAACACACGUGUGAGAGUAGCACUACUUUUAGUUCAUUUCUGCAAAACAUGUCAUUUUGAUGAUUAAAUUAAAUGUACCACUGUAAGCUUCACAUGUUUAUGUUAUUUAUCCGUGUUGCAAAUGAUUUCCAUGUAGGCUAUGAUAUUUAAAUUAAGAUACAAACACGCCUUACAUUGGUUGAAAUUGUGCUAGCAAUUUUGUAAAAUUCUGUGGUGUGAUGCAACCUUGA